rnacentral:rRNA from 1 species
GACGAGGGGUCCUAGCGUUGUUCGGAAUCACUGGGCGUAAAGCGCAUGUAGGCGGCUUGGUAAGUCAGUUGUGAAAGCCCUGGGCUCAACCCAGGAAGUGCAUCUGAUACUGCUAGGCUUGAAUAUGGGAGAGGGUAGUGGAAUUCCUGGUGUAGUGGUGAAAUACGUAGAUAUCAGGAGGAGCACCGGCGGCGAAGGCGGCCAUCUGGACGGAUACUGACGCUGAGACGCGAAAGCGUGGGGAGCAAACAGG